rnacentral:misc_RNA from 1 species
AGUCGUAACAAGGUCUCCGUUGGUGAACCAGCGGAGGGAUCAUUACAGAGUUGACCCUAACUCCCAAACCCCAUGUGAACAUACCUUACGUUGCCUCGGCAGGCCGUGUCCUACCCCGUCGGGCCCUAGCUUCCGUCAGGGCCUACCCGGGACGGGCGCGGGCUCCCCUGCCGGCGGCCUACCAAACUCUGUUUUCAACAUUGUACCUCUGAAUAUAUAACUAAAUCAGUUAAAA